rnacentral:tRNA from 1 species
GCAGGUGUACCCGAGCGGUCAAAGGGGUCGGACUCAAGAUCCGAUGCGGAGAGCUUCGCAGGUUCGAAUCCUGCCUCCUGCACCA